CAGCAGCCGCGGGAAUACGUAGGUGGCAAGCGUUGUCCGGAAUUAUUGGGCGUAAAGGGCUCGCAGGCGGUUUCUUAAGUCUGAUGUGAAAGCCCCCGGCUCAACCGGGGAGGGUCAUUGGAAACUGGGAAACUUGGGUGCAGAAGAGGAGAGUGGAAUUCCACGUGUAGCGGUGAAAUGCGUAGAGAUGUGGAGGAACACCAGUGGCGAAGGCGACUCUCUGGUCUGUAACUGACGCUGAGGAGCGAAAGCGUGGGGAGCGAACAGGAUUAGAUACCCCCGUAGUCCCUGUCUCUUAUAC
rnacentral:rRNA from 1 species